CUUUCUCCUCAUAAGAUGGGUUUUGGGUUCCUUCUCCCUACUAUAAGAAGGAGGAAGCCACACCACCAGGCACUGGACCAGCAGGUCCCCUCUCAGCACAGUCCUGUCCUUGAUGCACUGGGUGUCCUGCAUCAGAGAGGAAGCUAGGUCUCCUUCCGACUUCCUAGUUCUGUGACUCUGGUCCUGGCCACCAGAACAUCAUCAGCCAUGGUCAAGCCUGACUUCUCGGGUGUGUCCCUAUCUGACAGUGGAAGGAGGAUGGGCCCUGGGGUGCUGCCUGGACUGCAGUCACAGCAAAGCAUCCCACCUUUUCCCAGAGAGCUCUACGGCCAACUCCAAGGAAAGACCGGACACCUGGCCCAGGCAGAGGCCUCACAUGCAGACAGGGUGCAGGAAUGGGUCCUCCAAACUGAAUAACCCAAUUAUGAGUCAUCUAAACACACUCCACCUGAACAGCUUCGUAUGUUAGAUCUGAAGGCAUCA